rnacentral:rRNA from 1 species
GCGGUGGAGCAUGUGGUUUAAUUCGACGCAACGCGAAGAACCUUACCAGGGUCUUGACACUCCCUGACCGCGUAUGAAAGUACGUUUUCACCCUCGGGUGACAGGGAGACAGGUGGUGCAUGGUUGUCGUCAGCUCGUGUCGUGAGAUGUUGGGUUAAGUCCCGCAACGAGCGCAACCCCUACGUUUAGUUGCUAACGCGUGAAGGCGAGCACUCUAGACGAACUGCCGUUGACAAAACGGAGGAAGUGGGGAUGACGUCAAAUCAUCAUGCCCCUUAUGUUCUGGGCUACACACGUGCUACAAUGGCCGGUACAGACGGACGCAAAGCCGCGAGGUGGAGCAAAUCCUAAAAGCAGGCCCCAGUUCAGAUUGCAGUCUGCAACUCGACUGCAUGAAGCCGGAGUUGCUAGUAACCGCAGGUCAGCAAUACUGCGGUGAAUACGUUCCCGGGUCUU